CCUGUACCACCCCCUGUCCGAGUAGACUGUGCCUCUUCAACAGGUGUGACCGCUACUCGCCCAACCACUGCACAGUCUGUCCGCAAGGUCUUAUGGCAGCUUCUGUAGCAUGACCUGCCCCAACUGCAAGUCGGGCUGUAACCAGAACACGGGUGUGUGUGAUGACGGUUGAAAGGAUGGAUGGUACGGUCAGACGUGCAACCAGCAAUGCAGGAGUGAAUGUGCCUCGUGUGAACGGAACUCCGGAGAAUGUGUGACUUGUAUUGCCGGACGUUUGGGCCUAAACUGUCAACAGAGCUUCAGUGCGUUCUGUCAAAUGACCGUCGAGCAGGGUGUCAACAUGCUAUACUGCGACAAGACCACUGGCGCAUGCAGGCAGGGGGUGUGUCAAGUUGGGUACUGGAGGGCAGAUUGCUCUCAG